GGUCACGUGACUGCGGAGGGCUUGCUCCUGUGUCCUUCCUCAGGAUCCUUCACUGACCUUCGUAAAUACAUGGAAAGAUGAGAAGGUUCUGGGACAGAAAAGGGUGGAAGGAUGGACUUGUCAGAAGGAGGGGCAGAAGCAGAAGCACAAUGGGGUGUGGAAGGAUGAAGAUUUUCAGCUGGGACGCAUUCACCUUGCUCUGGGAGGCUCCUCUCCCUCUCCAAGUGCUUCUUUCCUAGAGCCUCCGGGGAGGAGGCGGCUUUCCCUUUCCACAUCCAAGGCAAGCUGCAUACAACGCAGAGGUGUCCAGUUCUCUGUUAGACUGGGAGUUAGGGGAUUACCAGCAUCCUCUCCUCCUCACUUGCUCACGUCUUCGGUGGAUUCUGGCUGCUUCAUUUCCCAAACAGAUGGCAAAGUGGCCCUCCUUCUGUCUCCACUGUCCUCCUUUCACUGUCCAGACACAGUCCUCAGUGACCCGCCCCCCCCCCCCCCCCCGGUGGGCUUAACUCUCCUGGCAAAGUCCAGUCUCUUGAUCAGGAACUUUGAGGAUCCAGGUCCCACAGAGGUCUUCACUGUCUCCUACCCCACAUGAUCACCUAUCUCCAUAGCCCUGCCAGGCUCUUAGCGGCCACUCUGGCUGCUUCCAAGGCUGUAGCCUGCUUCUCCCAUGCUGACUUCUCUUCCUGGGCUCAACAGCAAAGGUUCCCUCAGCAGAGAAAACCCUAGGCUUUGAGCCAUGGUGUGUCCCAGUUUCCUCUGUGUUUAAUAUUUGUGCUUCCUGCUGUUGUGGCUGCUGCAUGUGGGCAGGAACUGCUUCUGUUUUGUUUAUUGCUCUGUGUACUUCCCACCCAGCCUAGGAUCAAUAAAUAGGUGUUGAGCCAGG
rnacentral:lncRNA from 1 species